rnacentral:RNase_P_RNA from 1 species
CGAGCUCGCCAGACAGUCGCCGCCGGAGUUUUCCGGGGGAGGAAAGUCCGGGCUCCGCAGGGCAAGGUGCCAGGUAACGCCUGGGCGGCGCGAGCCGACGGAAAGUGCAACAGAGAGUAUACCGCCUAAGUACCUUCGGGUACCGGUAAGGGUGAAAUGGUGCGGUAAGAGCGCACCGCGUGGCUGGCAACAGUCCACGGCGAUGGUAAACCCCACCUGGAGCAAGACCAAAUAGGAAUCCAAUGGCGUGGCCCGCGCUGGAUUCGGGUAGGUUGCUUGAGGCCUGUGGUGACGCAGGCCCUAGAUGAAUGACUGUCCACGACAGAACCCGGCUUAUCGGCGAGCUCAUCAA